GAUGAACGCUGGCGGCGUGCCUAAUACAUGCCAGUCGAGCGAACGGACGAGAAGCUUGCUUCUCUGAUGUUAGCGGCGGACGGGUGAGUAACACGUGGAUAACCUACCUAUAAGACUGGGAUAACUUCGGGAAACCGGAGCUAAUACCGGAUAAUAUUUUGAACCGCAUGGUUCAAAAGUGAAAGACGGUCUUGCUGUCACUUAUAGAUGGAUCCGCGCUGCAUUAGCUAGUUGGUAAGGUAACGGCUUACCAAGGCAACGAUGCAUAGCCGACCUGAGAGAGUGAUCGGCCACACUGGAACUGAGACACGGUCCAGACUCCUACGGGAGGCAGCAGUAGGGAAUCUUCCGCAAUGGGCGAAAGCCUGACGGAGCAACGCCGCGUGAGUGAUGAAGAUCUUCGGAUCGUAAAACUCUGUUAUUAGGGAAGAACAUAUGUGUAAGUAACUGUGCACAUCUUGACGGUACCUAAUCAGAAAGCCACGGCUAACUACGUG
rnacentral:rRNA from 1 species